rnacentral:rRNA from 1 species
AUUGAACGCUGGCGGCAGGCUUAACACAUGCAAGUCGAGCGGUAGCACAGGGGAGCUUGCUCCCUGGGUGACGAGCGGCGGACGGGUGAGUAAUGUCUGGGAAACUGCCUGAUGGAGGGGGAUAACUACUGGAAACGGUAGCUAAUACCGCAUAACGUCGCAAGACCAAAGAGGGGGGCCUUCGGGCCUCUUGCCAUCAGAUGUGCCCAGAUGGGAUUAGCUAGUAGGUGGGGUAAUGGCUCACCUAGGCGACGAUCCCUAGCUGGUCUGAGAGGAUGACCAGCCACACUGGAACUGAGACACGGUCCAGACUCCUACGGGAGGCAGCAGUGGGGAAUAUUGCACAAUGGGCGCAAGCCUGAUGCAGCCAUGCCGCGUGUGUGAAGAAGGCCUUCGGGUUGUAAAGCACUUUCAGCGAGGAGGAAGGUGGUGAGCUUAAUACGUUCAUCAAUUGACGUUACUCGCAGAAGAAGCACCGGCUAACUCCGUG